AGAUCCAUUUACUUGCAGCAGAAAAUCUCUAAACAAAAACAUCGUCAUAAGUAUCAGCUACCUCAGCAACAAUCCCUUCUAUUCGAAAUACCAAUACAUGAGAUUUAUAUACUCCCGCUACAUCAAAUGGAACCAAGUUCUCAGAGGUAUAAUAUGUUAAGAAGAGUUAUUAUUACUCUUGACUAGUCUUUUCGUAUUUCUCAAUUCUCAUUGUAUUCAUGUUCUCAUUGACUUGUCUCUUAGUAUUCAUAAAUUAUAUUCCUAUAUAAGUUGAUCUCAUGUACAACUAUUACUAUGAGAGACUAAUAAUAUUCUUCUUAUUCUAUUUCUCUCAUCAUCUCAACAUGGUAUCAGAGCAGGUUAUACUCGAGUUUCGAUCUAACAAUCAAACUCAUUUAUCACUUUUCUUUUAAGCCUUUGUGCUUCUAUUUAUUUUUGUUUUAUGUUCUAAGCCAAGUGCUUCUACACUCUAAAAUUAUUGUUAGCCGCUGCUGCUUUCUUUUUCAAGAUUGCUGCCACUGCUCCUGUUCGUCGACCGUCGUUUUUCAUUUUCUGUCGACAUCAUGCUGAUGAGUCGGUUUGUUUCGGAAAUGGCAUCUGCUUUGCCCAACCCCGCUAAUGAGUUGCCUUGCUUUGGCACCAUCGUGACGACCUCAAGCUUGGUCUCCAACAAACUUUAUAUCCAUUACAGGUCAAGAAGUUUUCCUUUGUGUGUCAAGAUUGGUCUUCAUAGCUGAAGUCCAUCUUGAGGAGGCAUGUUAAGAAGAGUUAUUAUUACUCUAACUAGUCUUUUGGUAUUUCACAAUUCUCAUUGUAUUCAUGUUCUCUUUGACUUGUCUAGUAGUAUUCAUAAAUUGUAUUCCUAUAUAAAUUGAUCUCAUGUACAACUAUUACUAUAAGAGAAUACUAAUAUUCUUCUU
rnacentral:lncRNA from 1 species